UACGUAGGGUGCAAGCGUUAUCCGGAAUUAUUGGGCGUAAAGAGCUCGUAGGCGGUUUGUCGCGUCUGCUGUGAAAACUGGAGGCUCAACCUCCAGCCUGCAGUGGGUACGGGCAGACUAGAGUGCGGUAGGGGAGAUUGGAAUUCCUGGUGUAGCGGUGGAAUGCGCAGAUAUCAGGAGGAACACCGGUGGCGAAGGCGGCUCACUGGCUCGUAACUGACGCUCAUGCACGACAGCGUGGGGAUCAAACAGG
rnacentral:rRNA from 1 species